rnacentral:snoRNA from 1 species
ACUGCACAUGAUGACUAAAUACUUUUGCCGUUUACCCAGCUGAGGGUUCUUGAAGAAAUAAAUCUAAGACUGAGAUGCCAGU